rnacentral:lncRNA from 1 species
GUGAAGAAAUGGAUGCUCAGAAAAGUGAAGUGACUUGCCCAUGUUCUGCAAGUCUCAGGACAUGGGCUCCUCUGGGAGAGGUGCAGCUGAGGCAGACGCUGUAGGAGCUGGCAAGAGGAGGCUGCCUAAUGACCACAUGCCCCACGCCUGGACAAGAAGUCCUGCUUCAAAGAGAGAGCUGGGUGGCACUUCACACUGUCAGCCAUGUCCAGAUACACCCAAGUCGGGGUGUGGAGCCCCUGUCGGAGCUUUCAGCGUAGUCCUGACCACCUGUACCUGUCGUUCGUCACCUGUAGCCUUGCUCCUCACCUGGUCCCUGCCUGUCCAAGUGCCCAGCUUUGCUUGCAGUUUCCAAGUCUCUAGCUCAUCCUACUCACCGCUGAAGGUCCUGGCAGGCUCUCUCCUGAAUCCCACCCCGGUUAGACUCCACUUUGUUUGCCCAGGCUGGACAUUUCUGCCUGCAUCCUCGGGGCAUCUGACCUCAGUGCUUGGGCCUUGCUCCUUGGUGCUGACAGCUUGUGGUGAGACCACCCUGCUGGGCAGACAGGCUGGGAUGCCUGGGCAUAGGGCUCACUCCCCAGGGCCCCCGCUGGCUCUGGGUUGGACGCUGGCUCCAGGCAGGAUGCACGGUCUGCUUUGUGCGCAGGUGGGGUGGACAAAGGUGGCAACCGCACCUCCUCAAACCAGACUGAGGAGAAUGAGUGGAGCUGGUCUACCGUGGGAGGCGGAAGUGACCUCACAGCUCCUGCAGGCUCCUCUCUUCAUGUACUUACAAGGACACUACAACGCAGAGUAAAUAUGCAGCUGGUUAGGAGCAGAGCUGGGAAUAGAGCCCCGCCCAGAGCCCUUUUUAUACAUCCUUCUCCAUGACUGAAUUACAGUCCUUUCUUUUCCCCUUCCUCAAGACAGUUUUGUGUUUAGAAACGGCCUCAUUGGCAGAUUUUCUAUUCUCCUUGGUUAGCUAAUCGGAACACUCAGCCCCAUUCUGGCAGGUGGCCUCUCUGUUUGAGGAAUUAUCUUGCCUGCCAACUGGGUGCUGGAUUUACAUGCUAGCUGGGCCGCAGGGAAAUCAGCUGGAAUAGCUAUCGGGCUCAUUCAUCUCAGGCUUGUCAGCCUCCAGGCCAGAUGUGCCUGGUGUGGGUGCUUUCUGCCCUCACAGGGCUUGUCCUGGGACCUCAGCCCCAGCCUCCAGGGAAGCAGACCCUCAGGGCCUUGCUGAUGAGCUUCAACACUGGCCCAAGGCUCCCGUGGCUCUUAUUUCCACUUUAUCCUCUGUGAGUGCAUUUUUUUUUUUUUUUUUUUUUUUGAGACGGAGUCUUGUUCUUUCACCAGGCUGGAGUGCUGUGGUGCGAUCUUGGCUCACUGCAACCUCUGCCUCCCGGCUUCAAGUGAUUCCCCUGCCUCAGCCUUCCAAGUAGCUGGGACUACAGGCAUGCACCAUCACGCCCGGCUAAUUUUUUGUAUUUUAGUAGAGACGGGGUUUCACCAUGUUGGCCAGGAUGGUCUCGAUCUCCUGACCUCGUGAUCCACCCGCCUCGGCCUCCUAAAGUGCUGGGAUUACAGGCAUUGAGCCACCGCGUCUGGUUGUGCAUUCUUUUUUAUUAUUAUAUAAAAAAAAUUUCUGGUGUGACAGAGUCUCACUCUGUCGCCCAGGCUGGAGUGCAGUGGUGCAAUCAUGGCUCACUGGCCUCAAGUGAUCCUCCCAACUCAGCCUGGCCUCAAGUGAUCCUCCCAACUCAGCCUCUGAAGUAGCUGGGACUACAGCUGUGCAGCACCAUGCUUGGCUAAUUUUUUUAUUUUGUAGAGACAGGGUCUUGCCAUGUUGUGCAGACUGGUCUUGAACUCCUGCCUCAGCCUCCCAAAGUGCUGGGAUUCCAAGUGUGGGCCACCAUGCCUGGCCAUUGCACUCUGUUAGCAAAUAUUGUAUCUAAAAGAAUGGUGUCAUCCUGUUCUACUCUUUUAACGUGAUCCUUUAGCAUACAUUUAGUUAUUUACUUUUCAAAACUUUCUAGCUUUUAUCUGUAAUUGUUAGUUUCCUUCUGUUUUCUGUUAUUUCAGAGUACCUUUGUUACCUUUAUAAUUUAUUCUCUCUGCUAAUUUUAGUCAUAUUAUUGAACUGAUUUCCCCCGUAAAUGCUGAGCCAGAGGUCUAGGCUCCAUGGUGGAUGGGGUGGAGACGUAUCAGCUGCGGGGGCAGUUUCUGUCCUAAGCAAGGAGCUGGGGAGAGCCUGGGCUUCACUCAGCUGUAGGAUACCCCUUUCUGGCCCUCUUUCAUGGAAUUCUCUUUCUCUCCUUGGGUGAAUAUUUUGAUUCAAAGACAGCUAGCACGGAAGAGUAGGCAAAGCUCCUGUAACCUACCCAGAGUGGGUAUAAAAUAGCUACAUACCAAAAUUAGGGCACGGAAGGGAGGUGGUGUGUGCUGUCAAAUUAGAAGCACUGUGGAAACAAGGAAGGCCAGGGGAAAGCUAGAAAGGUGUUUUAUUGCAGGGGACGUAACCAAACAGGAAGUUGCUUUCUUCCCACCAAAAUGAGGGGGUCAUAUAUUUCCCCUCCUGCUGCAAAAUCAGAGACCAGAUCAGAGCUUCAGGCUCACAGCCACAAAGCCAAGAGCAUGAAUAGAGAGGGAAGCCAUUUCCCAGCUGACGAGCAGCUGUUGCCUGAACACUGAGGAGCCGGCGGCUGGAGGGAAGGAAAAGCAUUGUGCAUUUCAACAGCAUGUGGGGGCUUGCUUUACCCAGAGUCUAGAAUUGUAGCUGAUGGAAAUGCUGCACUGACAAACAGAGCUUUGAAGACUGGCAGACAAUGGGAUGAAGGAUUCUUUGUGACUGGUAUUAAAAAAUCCAAAGAAGCAUGAGACAGACGGAAAGGAUCGAUGUAUCCAAGCCAAACGAAGAGACGUUGACCGCAGCCAGGUCCAUUUUCCUAGUGAGGAGGAAUUGACAGUAACAGAACUCCGUUGUGCAGAAAGUGUAGCUCCAUAUGUGAAGAAUUUUGCUCAGUUAACUCUUUACUCAACUGUACAUGCACAGGUUCAGUCGUGCUUAGUGAAUUCUUUGGCCAAAGAACCUGUAUUAAUUUGCUACGGUUGUCAUGACAAAGUACCACAGACGGGUACUUGAACAACAGAGAUUUAUUUUCUCACAGUGCUGGAGGCUGGAAGUCUGAGAUCGAGCAGAAGGCAGGGCUGGUUUCUCCUGAGGCCUCUGUCCUUGGGUUGUAGGGGCCAUCUUCUCCCUGUGUUUUCACUGGUCUUCCCUCUGUGUGCAUCUGUGUCCUCAUCUCCUCUUCCUGAAAGGACACCAGUCGUAUUGGAUCCGGGCACGUUUUAAUGACUUCAUUGUAAUUUAACUACCUCUUUGAAGACCCUGUCUGCAAAUACAGUCACAUUCUGGGAAGCUGGAGGUUAGUUAGGACUUCAGUCUAUGAAUUUGAAGGGACACAAUUCGGCCCCGUUUCAGAUCCCUUCCUGGUAUUGUUGAGGAUGGACGUCUGGUCAGGCUAUGCCCAGGCAACAAUUUCUGCCACGAUCCUGGAGUGCAGGCUGUGCACAGCAGAUAGACAAUGCCCCCUUAAAGAAUACUACCUUAUUAAGGCUUACUCCUUUAGGAACUAACUGCAUGAAGCUGGACACACCAAUGGACACAAGGCCCAAAUUCCUCAAAUUUGGAAAGUGGUCCUGUCUUAGUGAUAGCACGAUAGGACGACGGUUCUUAGGCUUCCCACUACCCAGUCCCUCAGUGAGGACAUACGUGGUCCAAAAUGCAUUGUCUCCAUUCUCUGACCUCAAAUCCAUAUUCUAUGUGAACGUUUGUCGCAUUUAACUAUGCAAUUCUUUGCUCAGAGGCUGGAUUUUCCAUGCCCAGGGCUGACGUCUGCGAGUGUAGUGGAGCACCUAGGCAUAACUGGAUGAUGAAAACGAAGUGGCAGGUCUUGCUAGAUGGAGCUCCGACAUCCAUUCUCUGCUCACCAGCUAGCAGAGCCCUAAUUUUAUUUGGGUUUAGGAAUAUGUCCAGCUUAAAAAGCUGUACGUCUCAUCCUCGCAUUCCAGGUAAGAAUGAUGAUGCAAUACAGUUCUGGCCAAUGAGGUAGGAACAGGGAUGAGGAGGUGGGCUUCCAGGUUUCAGGAAAGUUUAUAGAGAGCUCAGGCAGUCCGUUCCAUUUGCUUGUUGCCCUUUCUCCUUAUUCCUGUCUAGAACAGGGAUGUGAUGGCUGGAGUACCAGCAGCCACCUUGUAAGCAUGGACGUGAAGAUGUUAGAGUGGUGAUCUAGACAGAAGCUGGGUUCCUCAUGACCUUGGGGAACUGCCACACCAGCUCUGGCCUGCCCUCCUUUGAAUUCUCUUCACAUGAGGGGGAAAAAACAAGCCCUCAGGGCCACUGGCCUCUCCAAUGGCUCAGCCUAGAGAACAGUUGUGAUGGCCCUUCCUGGCAUAGGUCACCCAGUGGCUCUGUGAACCCCUGUUUUAUUUAAGCCACUAUUUGGGGUUUCUAUUACCCACCACCAAACCUUAUUAUUUAACUGAUGCAGGUGGGUUGCAAUUAUUAGAAUCAUUCUAUUAUUCUCCCUAGAUACAGGUACAGGACCUUCUGAAAAUCUCCGUGAAAGCCUCCUUUAGAUAUAAGCUCCCCCUCUACCCAUCAGAAAAGCAGAUGAGAG